rnacentral:rRNA from 1 species
ACGGAGGGUGCAAGCGUUAUCCGGAUUUAUUGGGUGUAAAGGGCGCGCAGGCGGCUUUUUAAGUCAGAUGUGAAAACCCCCGGCUUAACCGGGGAAUUGCCUUUGAAACUGUGAAGCUUGAGUAUGGGAGAGGAAAUCGGAAUUCCUGGUGUAGCGGUGAAAUGCUUAGAUAUCAGGAAGAACACCGAUGGCGAAGGCAGAUUACCGGACCAAUACUGACGCUGAGGCACGAAAGUGCGGGGAGCAAACAG